GAGAGGAUGAUCCGCCACACUGGGACUGAGACACGGCCCAGACUCCUACGGGAGGCAGCAGUGGGGAAUUUUGGACAAUGGGCGCAAGCCUGAUCCAGCCAUGCCGCGUGUCUGAAGAAGGCCUUCGGGUUGUAAAGGACUUUUGUCAGGGAGGAAAUCCCUAGCGCUAAUAUCGCUGGGGGAUGACAGUACCUGAAGAAUAAGCACCGGCUAACUACGUGCCAGCAGCCGCGGUAAUACGUAGGGUGCAAGCGUUAAUCGGAAUUACUGGGCGUAAAGCGUGCGCAGGCGGUUGUGUAAGUCUGAUGUGAAAGCCCCGGGCUUAACCUGGGAACUGCAUUGGAGACUGCACAG
rnacentral:rRNA from 2 species